rnacentral:rRNA from 1 species
AUGCAUGAGUUAACUAAGGAAAACAUUGAGCGUAUGAAUGCUAAAUAUAAACUUGCUGGAGAUAAGGGUAGAAAACAUGUUGUGUUUGCACCUGGAGAUCUUGUUUGGUUACAUUUGCGUAAGGAUAGAUUUCCUGAUUUGCGCAAAUCAAAGUUAAUGCCACGUGCUGAUGGUCCCUUUAAGGUGUUAGAGAAAAUAAAUGAUAAUGCAUAUAAACUUGAGCUGCCUGCAGAUUUUGGAGUUAGUCCCACUUUUAACAUUGCAGAUUUGAAGCCUUAUUUGGGUGAGGAAGAUGAACUUCCGUCGAGGACGACUUCAUUUCAAGAAGGGGAGGAUGAUGAGGACAUCAAUACAAUUGUUACACCCACAACCCCUGCUGCUAUACAUACUGGACCAAUUACUAGAGCUCGUGCACGCCAACUAAAUUACCAGGAAACAGACCUUCGUGGUCAGGUUGAUCGUGCUCCGGCGUGGUCAAUAACCUCUCGGAGUUGGUUUAGCGAUUGCUAA